GACGAACGCUGGCGGCGUGCUUAACACAUGCAAGUCGAACGGGAACCUUUAUUUCGGUAAAGGUGAGAGUGGCAAACGGGUGAGUAACACGUAGGCAACCUGCCGACAGGAUGGGGACAACAUUCCGAAAGGAAUGCUAAUACCGAAUGAAGUCACCGGAGGGCAUCCUCUGGUGAUGAAAGAUGGCCUCUGAAUAUGCUAUCACCUGUCGAUGGGCCUGCGUCUGAUUAGCCAGUUGGCGGGGUAACGGCCCACCAAAGCGACGAUCAGUAGCCGGUCUGAGAGGAUGAACGGCCACAUUGGGACUGAGACACGGCCCAGACUCCUACGGGAGGCAGCAGUGGGGAAUCUUCCACAAUGGGCGAAAGCCUGAUGGAGCAACGCCGCGUGAGUGAAGAAGGUCUUCGGAUCGUAAAGCUCUGUUGCACGGGACGAAAACUGGGUUUGAGAACAUUGAACCUGGGUGACGGUACCGAGCGAGGAAGCC
rnacentral:rRNA from 1 species